rnacentral:lncRNA from 1 species
AAGCAGCGAAAAAGUAGUCAAUUUGAUAAGCUGAAGCUGCAAGUAUAGAUAAAUAGUUUUUCAUUGAUUCAGUUGGUACAAUCAUGUGAACACCUCAUUUCAGCAUAUACAUUCGUUUAGAUUCAGUUCCAGUGCUGUAUGAAUCCGGAGUUGUUGCUUUGUAAUUCUUGAAACUGGCUGUAAGAAUCCGGAGUUGGUGCUUCGUAAUUCUUGAAACUGAUCAAGUUCUUGAAGCAUGAAACACUAGAGUCUUUCUUGUCUGGCUUGUAGUUUUGAUAUCAGAAGCUUCAAACUUCAUGUCAGAGUCAUCAUCAGUCAUCAGUGUAGGUCAGGUAAUGGGGAUCAUGAUUAUGAAAGUCUCCUCGACAUAGUGGGAUAUAACCUGCAAUUACAAGUUAAGAGUAAGUGAGAGCCCAUUACAGAACCAAUAUGUUGUGUAAGAACAGAGAACUGCUGAUCAUGAACCAUAAACCUAUAACAAACAAAAAUCGCAAGCAAGAUCUCUAUCAUCUUCUUCUUGCUGAUAAUAUGAUGAUGGAUGAAAUGUGAAAUCAUAGAAUGAAGAAACUUCUAAUUGUUUGAACUUAGCUUAUAGCCAGACUAAUCAUAUACCCCAGGAGGGAAGAAACCUAUAUAUUUUUUUUUUUUUUAAAUCAUUGAAAAUCAAAAUAUCCUUUUUGCCAAAAGAAAAGAGAGAGAGAGAGAGAAAGAUCCAAAAAAGAAGAAACAAGAUUAGAUGCCAUGACUUAUAACCAUUAGUUCCUAUAGAGAACAUAGAGGUUGGGGUUGUGAUUGAAAG